rnacentral:rRNA from 1 species
UACGGGGGGGGCAAGCGUUGUUCGGAAUUACUGGGCGUAAAGGGCUCGUAGGUGGCCAACUAAGUCAGACGUGAAAUCCCUCGGCUUAACCGGGGAACUGCGUCUGAUACUGGAUGGCUUGAGUUUGGGAGAGGGACGCGGAAUUCCAGGUGUAGCGGUGAACUGCGUAGAUAUCUGGAGGAACACCGGUGGCGAAGGCGGCGUCCUGGACCAACACUGACACUGAGGAGCGAAAGCCAGGGGAGCAAACGGG